rnacentral:rRNA from 1 species
UACGUAGGUGGCAAGCGUUGUUCUGAAUUAUUGGGCGUAAAGAGCGUGUAGGCGGCUAGGUAGGUCCGUUGUGAAAACUCGAGGCUCAACCUCGAGACGUCGAUGGAAACCAUCUAGCUAGAGUCCGGAAGAGGAGAGUGGAAUUCCUGGUGUAGCGGUGAAAUGCGCAGAUAUCAGGAAGAACACCCGUGGCGAAGGCGGCUCUCUGGUACGUGACUGACGCUGAGACGCGAAAGCGUGGGGAGCGAACAGG